CAGCCGCCGCGGUAAUACGAGGGGGGCAAACGUUGUUCGGAUUUAUUGGGCGUAAAGGGUGCGUAGGCGGUUUGGCAAGUCUUGUGUGAAAUCUUCGGGCUCAACCCGAAGCCUGCACGAGAAACUACCGGGCUUGAGUAUUGGAGAGGUGAGUGGAAUUUCCGGUGUAGCGGUGAAAUGCGUAGAUAUCGGAAGGAACACCUGUGGCGAAAGCGGCUCACUGGACAAUAACUGGCGCUGAUGCACGAAAGCUAGGGGAGCAAACAGGAUUAGAUACCCCCGUAGUCCCUGUCUCUUAUAC
rnacentral:rRNA from 1 species